rnacentral:lncRNA from 1 species
GAUCGCCAUGGUCAUGGGAGUAAGCUGGAUUUCCAUUUUGUUGAGAACACAAAUAAUGUACAAUCGCGCUAUUUGUAUGCUCUGCUUUGCUGGCGACACAUGACAUGGCAGGUGGAAAGGAAUUCAAAUUUUAAAACAAUACGCUGGGUGGAAACUUGACCCGGCCCCUUGAACCGGCCCAAUUAUAAAGAAAAAAUUCUUCAUUUCCCCCCAAACCGGAGAAACCCUUGGAGGCGAAACGUAGUUCGAAGUCCAACACUCCUCCACCUCGACCGGAAUUUCAUCGCCUCCAACGGAAUCUCACUGCAAACUUUCAUUUUCACUUUUCCCCAAACCAAGAAAACCCUAGAGGCGAAAACUUUGGUUGAAAUCCAGCGCUCCUCCAUCUCAACCGAAGUAAGAAGCCGGUGGAAAUUUGUCCUUUUAAACACCAUCUAUCGCCUCCGGCGGAAUUUCUUGGUAAGCAUGAUGUGUAUCCAUUUUCCUCGAUUUUACUGUUUUCGAAAAAUACAAUCGUUUGAAGAUUUUGCAGUGGUUUGUGGUUGUUGUGUACUGCAGCGUAAUAUGUUGUUGAAAUGUCGGAGAUAGAUAAUGUAUAGUAAGCAGCAACGAGCUGAUGAUCAACAAGAAGAUAGCCAUCAGACGAAACAUGAUGAUGCAGGGUAGAAACCUCAUUGAAGACCAUUCUGUCACACAACAUUUUUUUUCCCUUUUCUGUUAGAUUCUGUUGUAUAGCAUUUUUUUCAGCCAAUCAGUUCAAUUUGUGUAAAUAUUCUAGAUCCUUCUGUAUAUAUACGUGUGGAGUUGAACAAUUGUAACAAGAAGAAAUUAUUUUCAAUAAAAUUAUUCUUCCAGUAUACAUCUGGUUCUUUUUAUUCUCCCUUUUGCAAAGGGAGCAAUCCAUUCCUUUGUUUUCUUAUAUAUGUUGUUUGUUCGUGUGCAAUAUGCCAGGGAAGAACUCCAGAGUACGUCAUAGUUGUCGCGAGAAGGGUCACUUCUUUGCGGACUCCUCGAAAAAACGGCACUGCCCUUGUCAUCAGUUUUGCUUCCUACCACUUUUGAUGUGUAGUAUGUGUUCCGUUA